AUUGAACGCUGGCGGCAGGCCUAACACAUGCAAGUCGAACGAAGUCUUCGGACUUAGUGGCGGACGGGUGAGUAACACGUGGGAACGUGCCUUUAGGUUCGGAAUAACUCAGGGAAACUUGUGCUAAUACCGAAUGUGCCCUUCGGGGGAAAGAUGUUAUCGCCUUUAGAGAGGCCCGCGUCUGAUUAGCUAGUUGGUGAGGUAAAGGCUCACCAAGGCGACGAUCAGUAGCUGGUCUGAGAGGAUGAUCAGCCAAAUUGGGACUGAGACACGGCCCAAACUCCUACGGGAGGCAGCAGUGGUGAAUCUUGCGCAAUGGGCGAAAGCCUGACGCAGCCAUGCCGCGUGAAUGAUGAAGGUCUUAGGAUUGUAAAAUUCUUUCACCGGGGACGAUAAUGACGGUACCCGGAGAAGAAGCCCCGGCUAACUUCGUGCCAGCCGCCGCAGUAACAC
rnacentral:rRNA from 1 species